CGGAUGAAACGCUAGCGGGAGGCUUAACACAUGCAAGGUCGAGGGGCAGCAUAGGGUAGCAAUACUCUGAUGGCGACCGGCAGACGGGUGAGUAACGCGUAUGUAACCUACCCUGUACAGGGGGAUAACCCGGAGAAAUUCGGACUAAUAUCCCAUGGAAAUAUUGAGAGGCAUCUUUUGAUAUUUAAAGUUCCGGCGGUACGGGAUGGGCAUGCGUAACAUUAGCUAGUUGGUAAGGUAACGGCUUACCAAGGCUUUGAUGUUUAGGGGUCCUGAGAGGGUGAUCCCCCCACACUGGUACUGAGACACGGACCAGACUCCUACGGGAGGCAGCAGUGAGGAAUAUUGGUCAAUGGGCGCAAGCCUGAACCAGCCAUCCCGCGUGCAGGAAGACGGCGCUAUGCGUUGUAAACUGCUUUUCCAGGGGGAGAAACUUGCGUACGUGAUACGCAAUUGACGGUACCCUGGGAAUAAGCAUCGGCUAACUCCGUG
rnacentral:rRNA from 1 species